GGACCGUGUAUAAGUCUCCUGGGAUGGGGCGUCAUAGAGGGUGAGAAUCCCGUCUUUGACACGGACUACCAGUGCAYUGUGGUAUGCUCUCAAAGAGUCGAGUUGUUUGGGAAUGCAGCUCAAAAUGGGUGGUAAAUUCCAUCUAAAGCUAAAUAUUGGCGAGAGACCGAUAGCGAACAAGUACCGUGAGGGAAAGAUGAAAAGAACUUUGGAAAGAGAGUUAAACAGUACGUGAAAUUGCUGAAAGGGAAACGCUUGAAGUCAGUCACGUUGGCCGGGAAUCAGCCUUGCUUUUGCAUGGUGUACUUUCUGGUUGACGGGUCAGCAUCAAUUUUGACCACUGGAAAAAGUCCUGGGGAAUGUGGCAGCUCCGGCUGUGUUAUAGCCCCUAGUCGCAUACAGUGGUUGGGAUUGAGGAACUCAGCACGCCGCAAGGCCGGGUUUCGACCACGUUCGUGCUUAGGAUGCUGGCAUAAUGGCUUUAAGCGACCCGUCUUGAAACACGGACCAAGGAGUCUAACAUGCCUGCGAGUAUUUGGGUGGAAAACCCAAGUGCGCAAUGAAAGUGAAAGUUGAGAUCCCUGUCGUGGGGAGCAUCGAUGCCCGGACCAGAACUUUUGGGACGGAUCCGCGGUGGAGCAUGUAUGUUGGGACCCGAAAGAUGGUGAACUAUGCCUGAAUAGGGUGAAGCCAGAGGAAACUCUGGUGGAGGCUCGUAGCGAUUCUGACGUGCAAAUCGAUCGU
rnacentral:rRNA from 1 species